rnacentral:misc_RNA from 1 species
UUUCCGUAGGUGAACCUGCGGAAGGAUCAUUAAUGCGCUCCCGGACAUGAUCGGUCAGAAAUGGCCCUUUAUGUUUCGGCCAAUUGCCAUCCGUGUGUAGUGUAUAAUUGUUGCUUUGGUGGGCCGCCCCUUGGGCACCGGAUUCGGCUGGCCCGCGCCCGCCAGAGGACCCAAUACUCUGUUUGUUAGUGAUGACUGAGUACUACUUAAUAGUUAAAACUUUCAACAACGGAUAUCUUGGUACUGGCAUCGAUGAAGCACGCAGCCGAUAGGAACAGC